ensembl:snRNA U6 U6 spliceosomal RNA
GUGCUUGCUUUGGCAGCACGUGUACUAAAACUGGAAUGACACAGAGACAAUUAGCAUGGUCCCUGUACAAGGACGACACGCAAAUUCAUUAAGUGUUCCAUAUUUUU